rnacentral:rRNA from 1 species
UUGGAGGGCAAGUCUGGUGCCAGCAGCCGCGGUAAUUCCAGCUCCAAUAGCGUAUAUUAAAGUUGUUGCAGUUAAAAAGCUCGUAGUUGAAUUUCGGGGUCAGUAGGUUGGUCAUGCCACUGGUAUGUACUGGUCUCACUGAUUCCUCCUUCCUGAUGAACUGUAAUGCCAUUAAUUUGGUGUUGCAGGGAAUCUGGACUGUUACUUUGAAAAAAUUAGAGUGUUUAAAGCAGGCUCACGCUUGAAUACAUUAGCAUGGAAUAACGAAAUAGGACGUUUGAUUCUAUUUUGUUGGUUUCUAGGAUCGACGUAAUGAUUAAUAGGGAUAGUUGGGGGCAUUAGUAUUCAAUUGUCAGAGGUGAAAUUCUUGGAUUUAUUGAAGACUAACUACUGCGAAAGCAUUUGCCAAGGAUGUUUUCAUUAAUCAAGAACGAAAGUUAGGGGAUCGAAGACGAUCAGAUACCGUCGUAGUCUUAACCAUAAACUAUGCCGACUAGGGAUCGGAUGAUGUUAAAUUAAUGACUCAUUCGGCGCCUUACGGGAAAC